AGAGUUUGAUCAUGGCUCAGGAUGAACGCUGGCGGCGUGCCUAACACAUGCAAGUCGAGCGAUUCUCUUCGGAGAAGAGCGGCGGACGGGUGAGUAACGCGUGGGUACCCUGCCCUGUACACACGGAUGACAUACCGAAAGGUAUGCUAAUACGAGAUAAUAUGCUUUUAUCGCAUGGUAGAAGUAUCAAAGCUCCGGCGGUACAGGAUGGACCCGCGUCUGAUUAGCUAGUUGGUAAGGUAGCGGGCUUACCAAGGCGACGAUCAGUAGCCGACCUGAGAGGGUGAUCGGCCACAUUGGAACUGAGACACGGUCCAAACUCCUACGGGAGGCAGCAGUGGGGAAUAUUGCACAAUGGGCGAAAGCCUGAUGCAGCAACGCCGCGUGAGCGAUGAAGGCCUUCGGGUCGUAAAGCUCUGUCCUCAAGGAAGAUAAUGACGGUACUUGAGGAGGAAGCCCCGGCUAACUACGUG
rnacentral:rRNA from 1 species